rnacentral:lncRNA from 1 species
GAAGGCGUGGCGCUCUGAGUCUGGGCGGCAACGGGCGAUACCGCGUUCUCGCGAGGUCUCGCGACUGGCUAGGGCAGGGUCCUCUACAGCGGGGCCCCUCAGCAUUGUGGGAAGGCCUGGACCUCCCUAUUUCCCGGGAGUUGUUGGAGGUUGCACCGAGCGCACUACCGACUCUGUCCUUAAUUCGGGCCAAGCUUUGGUGUUGGAGAUUGAACUCAGGAACUCUCUGAGAGUGCUCACUGAGCUACAUCCCCAGCACCUUGUAUUUUUGGGGACCGGCUAUCACUAAAUUGCCCUGGCUGGCUUUAAACUUGGGAUCCUUCUCCCUCAGCCUUUGAACUGACUGGGUUUAGAGGCUUGUACCACUGUGCCUGGUUCAAUCUGCUUUCUUUAUACUUUUUUUCUUGAGUGCUGGGGAUGGAACCAGACCUGGUGCAUGUUAGGUGCUGGAAAUUAAAUCCAGGGCCUUGGGGAUGCUAGGCAAGUGCUCCACCAUUGAGCUACAUUGUGGCCCUUUUGAUGAGGAAAAAAAGAAGAAUCAAGAUAUAUCAUGUACUGGUACAAAUUUCCUAUAAUGAAUGUUAUCAUCAUGUAUAUCUAAAUGUACCAAUAAAUGUUUUGCUAAAAAAAAAAAUUAUUUUGAGACAGGUUUCAUUUCACUAAACUUUCCAGAUUGACCUCAAACUUGCAAUCUUCCUCCCUCAGCCUCACAAGUAGUUGGGAUUACAGCUACACCUGUCCAGUUGGUGUUUUGUUUUUGUUGUUGUUUGUGAUACUGGGGGUUGAACUUGGGACCUUGUGCUUGUGAGGCAGGUGCGGUGCCACUGAGCUAAAUCCCUGGCAUCUAGUUGGUCUUUUGAUAUUUGUAAACGUUACAUAAUGAUUGAAUCA